UUUGAUUUGGGUCAGAGAAUCUUCAUUUGAACCUCACUUCUGUCACAUCGCAUCUGUGUGACCUAGAGUCAGUCACUUCUCUUGGAACCUCAGUCUCCUAGUCUGCAGAAUAAGGAGUUUAGACUGGAUUAUUUCUGUGUUUCUUCCAGUUUUAAAAUGGUGGCACUUUGAGAUGUCCAGUUUGGCAAUGUCCAGUUGCUGCUGUCAUUCCUAGUUGUUGGUCUCAUCCAUUCCUUGAAUUCCAGAAGAACUGUAUAGCUUCUCAAGCUUGACCCAAUCUCGAGCCUGCUCACUGUCCAUCUCGAAGCACAAUUCCUGGGAUCCAUCAAUGAUUUGUAUAUCAAUCAACCAGCUCAAUGUCUACCCAUCCCAAAGACUUUAAACAAAAGGAAAGGUGAAAGUUUGGAAUUGGAAGUGUACAGUACUUCCCAGAAGACAAUGGAAUGAACUAAGUCAAAGGUUCUACUUUGAGGGAGAAGAGAGAUGGCUGUAGCCAAAAUUUUCUGACGAUCAACCUUCAAAGUCACUUCACUUUAACGCCCCCCCCUCUCCAUUUCUAAAAUUCUCUGUUCCUUUGAAACCAGAUAAUAAAUGCA
rnacentral:lncRNA from 1 species